AUGGAGAUGGUUGCCAUCAGUUCCAUUUUGUUGCACAUCACAAGCCUUGCACUCAGAUCGUCGCUGUGGCCAGAUCCGGCCGGGGGAGCCGCCAUAGAGCCGACACCUCGGCGGCGCAGCAGCAGCCCGACAGAAGGUGGGUGCUCGAGCUCAUCCAGCAGCUUGUCAUCGACCAGGAGGCCUCUACCUCGUCUGCAACCGUCCGUGGAUCUCUAUUGCAAGCAUCUUGUAUUUUGUCUACUGAUGUUCUUCCGCCCAUCUAAAUUCCACAUGUAUUUUUUGACGGGAUCUAAAUUCCACAUGUUGUUAUAUGAGUGGUACAGCUGCAUGGAUUGA
rnacentral:rRNA from 1 species